rnacentral:tRNA from 5 species
GGGCUCGUCGUCUAGUCUGGUUAGGACGCCACCCUCACACGGUGGAGGUCCCCGGUUCGAAUCCGGGCGAGCCCA